rnacentral:lncRNA from 1 species
CGCCAACUGCAAACUCUUCCGGCUGCAGCUGCAGCAGGGAUUGUUCCGCAUCCGCGUACCUUCUCCGUGAGCCCGUGCUGCCAGGGGACCAGACUGGAAGAGUGCUGUGCAGUCCACCAUAAUCUAGCUCUAUUUAAAGGAAAAGCUGAGAAAUUACAGCUGAAAAUUACACUGUAUGCUGUGCUUUGGUAUGGUAACUGUUUUUGUUUUAAAUGCUUACAAAGCUUGAGUCUCAGUACUUGUUUCGGGAACAAAUAACUUAAGUACACAUUAAAGAGGAGAGAAGGGGGAAAAUAAAAGGGGGAGAUCAAGGAAACACCUUCAGUCGUAACCAUUUGGAGUUUAAACCUUGUUAUUGAAGGAGGAUUUUGUGUCUGAAACUGGUGGGAAUCUGUUUCCUUUGGCGAAGCUUAUUGAAAAGCAAAAACAAAAAAAGCUUUCAGGUGCGUUUCCCCUGCGGGGAACUGAUACGAAUCCAUGUGCUAUCUGGAACUGGAUAGCUGUAAUACACAGAAGCUACAUGACAACCAACCUCCCUGGUGUGCUGCUGUUGGAGCAUGAGGCCACAGGAGUUGUUGGUCAUUGCACCUUUUAUUUCUAGUCCUUUCUCAAAAGAUAAGGUCUGUGCCUAAAAAAUGGUGGAGGUGUGUACAUAUGGUUUUUCAUUGAUUUGCAACGGUUUCAUUCUGACAAAUAUUUUUAAUAUAUAUAAAAUGGACUAAUCUGAAAUGGAUACACCCCAGAAAAUGGAUACAGUACACCACAAAGAAGUAAACAGUUUUUUCCUACGCUGUCAUUCGAGUAGCCUGAUGAACUGGUCUGCAGGAAUAAAAUGGGAGAGAUGGAAAAUAGAAACAAUACCUCCUGCCCUUCAGAAAAAGAGACUUUGUACAACCAGUAUUAUAACUACAUACAAGACUUUCCACUCUGCAACUCUGUGGACCUCAGACAAGCCAAACUCUGCCCUCAGUUGUGUUAGUGUAAACCUUUGUCAUCUUUAUUGAAAUCAUCUUACAUAUGUUGAAAUAUGAUCCCAAACUAAUUCAAAAUAUUGGUAUUUCACUAAAUAGUCCUUGAAGAGCCAUUCUGAAACUUAUUUCUGGUCUGUCCUUCCAUAGCACUGAUGUGGGGUUGGAAUUACUCUGAUUCCUGAGCAGAGGAGUGUGGGAGGGUGGGGGAAAAGGGCAGCAGCCAAUCCAUUGACCUUUUUUUAUUUUUAUUUUUUACAAUGCUGAAGUGCUGCAAAACUUGAACUAUAUACAUCGAUUUUCUGACCUAUAUUAGUUGGCAUAUUAAAAAGUUUAUAUAUUUAUGCAUUGCAGUAAACUUGGUGUGUGUAUAUAUAUGUCUUU